GCCCAGACUCCUACGGGAGGCAGCAGUGAGGAAUAUUGGUCAAUGGGCGGGAGCCUGAACCAGCCAAGUCGCGUGAGGGAAGACGGCCCUACGGGUUGUAAACCUCUUUUGUCGGGGAGCAAAGCGAGUCACGUGUGACUCAUUGAGAGUACCCGAAGAAAAAGCAUCGGCUAACUCCGUGCCAGCAGCCGCGGUAAUACGGAGGAUGCGAGCGUUAUCCGGAUUUACUGGGUGUAAAGGGAGCGUAGACGGCUGUGCAAGUCUGAAGUGAAAGCCCGUGGCUCAACCGCGGAACUGCUUUGGAAACUGUAUAGCUUGAGUACUGGAGAGGCAGGCGGAAUUCCUAGUGUAGCGGUGAAAUGCGUAGAUAUUAGGAGGAACACCAGUGGCGAAGGCGGCCUGCUGGACAGAAACUGACGUUGAGGCUCGAAAGCGUGGGGAGCAAACAGGAUUAGAUACCCGCGUAC
rnacentral:rRNA from 1 species